GCUCUUUCCCUCAAAGAAACAACCGCUGCACAAGAAAAUCCAGUAUGACUUCUCUAAAAAUCUCAAAGGGUUCACAGAGCAGCACUAUUUAAUAAAGAAAUGUGGCUCUGUAGUGGACACCUGUGAGGCAGUGGACAGACAGCUGCUGAAGUCUGAUGCUGGCUGACAAUAAACAGACCUCUCUGGACGUACCCCAUCUUUUGCAGCCUACACAGAAUCUCAGAACAGCAGUGGCAAUAACAGGAGACCCAUUUGAUGAGAGCAGCACUGCAGACUUUCCUGAUGGAGGAGAUCAUGGACCAUUUUCACAAGACUGAUGAUGUGUUUCAGCUGUGUUUUCAUCGUAAAUCCUCACAAUGUUUGUAAAUUGUGAUUUAAAAAAAAAAAGAUGUGCAUUUGUAACACUAUACUUUGUAUUAUAUCACAUUCAUAUCAAAUUACAAAAAAAAAUAGUUAAUGCUAAUGCAAGGGUGUUUCUAAUCCAAGAGUCUUUGGGAGGGAUGCUAAAUUUGACAUUGUUCUCUCUUCUGACUGCUGUUAUCAGUCUCUGUCAGAUUUUUUCCUUUGAUUGAAAGUUGUGAAAAUGCUAUUGUAGAGUUUUUCAUUUUGCUAUUCGAGUAAAUAAGAAUGCAAAAAUAUAUUUUUGAUACUGUCCCAUUCACUGCUCUCGAAGUUAACCCAACUAUAACAACUUAUCCUGCUGAGAAACUGGUUUUCUUUUAAUCGCACAGCCCUAGAAUGGACUGGAAAUGAACAGAAAAUAAUUGGCGGCCCACCUGCAGUACCACCGCAGCCCACCUUGAAAACCACUGAUGUAAUGUAUAAUACACAAACCUUUUAAAAAAAAAGGCAAAGUCAGUCUUCUGACAGAGGAUCUGGAAAAAUUUAAAUGUUCUUACAGUUGAGGGACUUCAGAAAGCCAGAUUUGGGAAAUUAUCUUUGUCAGGUAACAAGUUGAAACAGAACAGAUGAUAUAAGAGUGUAGGAUAUAAAUAUUUUAUAACUUUAUUUUGUAUUGAAACAUCUUUGUUCUCCUUUUUAAAAAUCUCAUAAGGAGUAAUAAUUUCAGUGACACAGUUGUACAGAAGCCCCCCAAAAAACAUGAUUUUAUUUCUCCCCUUUUUUCUCGUGAUCUUAACUUUUCUGAGGAGAGAGAAAAAGAAUGAGCUGC